AACGCACAUUGCGCCUCUCGGUAUUCCGGGAGGCACGCCUGUUCGAGCGCCAUUACACACUCCAAGCAGUGCUUGAUGUUGGUCCGGUGUGUCUUUUCGGGUUGUCUUCUCUUUCUCUUUCUGGAGAGGGGGAGAUGGAGAGACGCAGGACUGGAACGUGUUGGCGCCGCCGCCAGACCACGAGCGUAGCAAGACGAGAGUCAAGGAAUCGCAUCGGAUUGGAUCUGACGGUGGUUGGCCUUUUUGUGUAUCUUGUUUGUAGAAGAUGCAAAACGACAGUUUGGCCUCGGAUCAGGCGGGGAUACCCGCUGAACUUAA
rnacentral:misc_RNA from 1 species